UGUUAAGCAUAUUGUGUUUGAUCUGGGUUUUGUAUUGGAUGGGUGGUGUACACUUUCUCCUGGAGUUGGUUCCCUUCAUAAUCAACAAUGGUGAUUAUAAAUGUCGUCUCAUUAAUCUGAGGGAUCAUCAUUUUGACAGCAACAUAAUACUUUCUUGCAUGGGUGUGCAUGGAGGGCGUCUCAAGAUGUUUGACUUUGAAUUGGCUACCAAUACUUUUUUAGUUUGGGACGUGAAUGUGAAUAGAGAAGAGUAUCAUGGAGGAUUUGAAAAGGUUGCCAAAGGCCCAUCUGGGAAAGAGAUCAAUGCACUCGAACAACAUAUAAAGAACUUGUUAAAUCCAUCAAGUCCUCUAUUUUUCAACACUCUUUAUGAUCCAUACAGAGAAGAUGCAGGCUUAUUCUUUUAGUUUCUGUGGGGGUGUACCUAUAGCUGUUUCUCUUGGCCUGUGACUCAACAUCCCUGACUGAUGCUCUACCCAGUUUGCCAAUCCUCUAGAAAGGAACAGUAGGUUUGUUGAUGUAGUUCUGACCAUACCUGGGGGAACUCUAUUUCCUAUGUGUGGACUCAUGGGUAUUGGUGAGCCAAUUGGAAGAUAUGGUGAUAUGUAGGCUAGCUACAUUGCAGUUUUGGUAAUUACAAUUGGAUUUUUGCUCUUUCCUUGGCCUUCAACCUCAUCAAUUUAAAGAGUAGAGGCUACCUAGAUGAGGAAUUGGUUGGGUAGGAGAAGAGUAGAACUACCCAAGACCAAGGGAACUCAAAAUUGGACUUUUAGAAACUGCAUUGCAGUUUUGGUAAUUACAAUUGGAUUUUAGCUCUUUCCUUGGCCUUCAACCUCACCAAUUUGAAGAGUAGAGGCUACCCAGAUGAGGAAUGGGGUGGGCAAGAGAAGAGUAGAACUACCCAAGACCAAGGGAACUCAAAAUUGGACUUUUAGAAACUGCAUUGCAGUUUUGGUAAUUACAAUUGGAUUUUAGCUCUUUCCUUGGCCUUCAACCUCACCAAUUUGAAGAGUAGAGGCUACCCAGAUGAGGAAUGGGGUGGGCAAGAGAAGAGUAGAACUACCCAAGACCAAGGGAACUCAAAAUUGGACUUUUAGAAACUGCAUUGCAGUUUUGGUAAUUACAAUUGGAUUUUAGCUCUUUCCUUGGCCUUCAACCUCACCAAUUUGAAGAGUAGAGGCUACCCAAAUGAGGAAUUGGGUGGGCAAGAGAAGAGUAGAACUAC